UGGGGAAUAUUGGACAAUGGGGGAAACCCUGAUCCAGCAAUGCCGCGUGAGUGAAGAAGGCCUUAGGGUUGUAAAGCUCUUUCGCCCGCGAAGAUAAUGACGGUAGCGGGAGAAGAAGCCCCGGCUAACUCCGUGCCAGCAGCCGCGGUAAUACGAAGGGUGCAAGCGUUACUCGGAAUUACUGGGCGUAAAGCGUGCGUAGGCGGUUCGUUAAGUCCGAUGUGAAAGCCCUGGGCUCAACCUGGGAACUGCAUUGGAUACUGGCGAGCUAGAGUGCGGUAGAGGAUGGUGGAAUUCCCGGUGUAGCGGUGAAAUGCGUAGAGAUCGGGAGGAACACCAGUGGCGAAGGCGGCCAUCUGGACCAGCACUGACGCUGAGGCACGAAAGCGUGGGGAGCAAACA
rnacentral:rRNA from 1 species